UGUUCUCUUCAGCAGCACAUACACUGUACUAAAAUUGGAAUGAUACACAGAAGAUGAGCAUGGCCCCUGUGCAAGGAUGACAGGCAAAUUUGUGAAGCAUUUUAUAUUUUU